rnacentral:rRNA from 1 species
UGGGAACCUUCCCUAUGGUUCGGAAUAGCUCAGGGAAACUUGGGUAAUACCGGAUAAGCCCUUCGGGGAAAAUUUAUCGCCAUUGGAUGGGCCCGCGUCGGAUUAGCUAGUUGGUGAGGUAACGGCUCACCAAGGCAACGAUCCGUAGCUGGUCUGAGAGGAUGAUCAGCCACACUGGGACUGAGACACGGCCCAGACUCCUACGGGAGGCAG